GGAGAGAGGAGACAGGAAACAGCAGACAGGAGACAGCAGAGAGGAGACAGCAGGCAGCAGAGAGGAGACAUGAUACAGUAGAUAGGAGACAGCAGGCAGCAGAGAGGAGACAGGAUACAGUAGAUAGGAGACAGCAGAGAGGAGAGAGCAGAGAGGAGACAGCAGAGAGGAGACAGGAGGCCGCAGAGAGGAGGCAGGAGACAGCAGAGAGGAGACAGCAGGCAGCACAGCGGAGACAGGAGACAGCAGAGGAGACAGGAGCCAGCAGAGGAGACAGCAGGCAGCAGAGGAGACAGUAGGCAGCAGAGGAGACAGGAGACAGCAGAGAGGAGACGGGAGCCAGCAGAUGAGACAGCAGGCAGCAGAGGAGACAGCAGGCAGCACAGAGGAGACAGGAGACAGCAGAGGGGAAACAGCAGAUGAGACAGCAGGCAGCAGAGGAGACAGGAGACAGCAGAGAGGAGACAGCAGGCAGCACAGAGGAGACAGCAGAGAGGAGACAGCAGGCAGCAGGCAGCAGAAACAGGAGACAGCAGGCAGCAGAGAGGAGACAGGACACAGCACAGAGGAGACAGGAGACAGCAGGCAGCAUAGAGGGGACAGGAGACAGCAGGCAGCAGAGAGGAGACAGGACACAGCACAGAGGAGACAGGAG
ensembl:lncRNA